AUAGGAAACAAGUUGAAUUCACCUAUUACAAAGAGUAAUCAGUGGUAUUUGAUACUUUUUGUAAUAUGUGAAUUUUUUUAUUUAAAAAAAGCUUAUAUAUUAAAUUUUUUAUUAAUGGAGGUCAUUUACAUGACACAAGGUACAGUAAAAUGGUUUAACGCAGAAAAAGGUUUUGGAUUCAUCGAAGUUGAAGGCGGAUCAGACGUAUUCGCUCACUUCUCAGCAAUCCAAGGCGACGGCUUCAAAACUUUAGAAGAAGGCCAAAAGGUUGAAUUCGAAGUAGAACAAGGCCAACGCGGACCACAAGCUACAAACAUCGUAAAACUUUAAUUUUUACGUAUAGUUAUAGCCAAGAGGAAUCCUAUUACAGGGUUCCUCUUUUU
rnacentral:sRNA from 1 species